CAAGGCGACGAUCCGUAGCUGGUCUGAGAGGAUGAUCAGCCACAUCGGGACUGAGACACGGCCCGAACUCCUACGGGAGGCAGCAGUGGGGAAUAUUGGACAAUGGGCGAAAGCCUGAUCCAGCCAUGCCGCGUGUGUGAAGAAGGCCCUCGGGUUGUAAAGCACUUUCAGCGAGGAAGAACGCCUAGUGGUUAAUACCCAUUAGGAAAGACAUCACUCGCAGAAGAAGCACCGGCUAACUCCGUGCCAGCAGCCGCGGUAAUACGGAGGGUGCAAGCGUUAAUCGGAAUUACUGGGCGUAAAGCGCGCGUAGGUGGCUUGAUAAGCCGGUUGUGAAAGCCCCGGGCUCAACCUGGGAACGGCAUCCGGAACUGUCAAGCUAGAGUGCAGGAGAGGAAGGUAGAAUUCCCGGUGUAGCGGUGAAAUGCGUAGAGAUCGGGAGGAAUACCAGUGGCGAAGGCGGCCUUCUGGACUGACACUGACACUGAGGUGCGAAAGCGUGGGUAGCAAACAGGAUUAGAUACCCUGGUAGUCCACGCCGUAAACGAUGUCGACCAGCCGUUGGGUGCCUAGCGCACUUUGUGGCGAAGUUAACGCGAUAAGUCGACCGCCUGGGGAGUACGGCCGCAAGGUUAAAACUCAAAUGAAUUGACGGGGGCCCGCACAAGCGGUGGAGCAUGUGGUUUAAUUCGAUGCAACGCGAAGAACCUUACCUACUCUUGACAUCCUGCGAACUUGUGAGAGAUCACUUGGUGCCUUCGGGAACGCAAAGACAGGUGCUGCAUGGCUGUCGUCAGCUCGUGUUGUGAAAUGUUGGGUUAAGUCCCGUAACGAGCGCAACCCUUGUCCUUAUUUGCC
rnacentral:rRNA from 1 species